GACGGUUUGUGUUCUAGUCCCAAGAACUUCUUGAUCUUACUUGAGUCGCCAUGGAGUUUCACUCGGUAAUAUACAUCAACGAACUAAACAAAAGUACGAGUUAAGACCAGAGUCAAAGCGAGUCAACGACAUGAACUCACGGAGAUGUGAAAGAGGUGUAUCGAGAAGGCUGAAGCUCGGGGUGAGAUGCUGAGCUCAAUUUAUGGAGAGGAGAAGGGCUAGUGGAAGCGACGUCAGCAAAGUGAUGGUUAUUGAGAAAAUAACACGUGGCAUAAAAUAAAUGCCAGCUGGCGACUGCUGAAAGGAAUCAGGUCGUUGGAAAAAGUUGUUUUAUUUUUCCUUAAAUUGACACUUUAAAAUCUCUUUAUUUUCAUGCCUUUCUUUUUCGGAUUGUUAUUGUGUUUAUUUCUUUUCAUUUCGAAUGAUACCUAUCACUUUACAGAAUACAGAAUUUAAUCAAGUGUUUUCCA